rnacentral:sRNA from 1 species
AAAAAUAGCUGAGCAGGUGGAGAUAUUCCAUCAAGAGAAAAGCAAGCUGGAUGCAGAAGUGGCCAAAUGGGACGACAGCGGCAAUGAUAUCAUUGUACUGGCCAAGCAGAUGUGUAUGAUCAUGAUGGAAAUGACAGACUUCACAAGAGGCAAAGGCCCAUUGAAAAAUACAUCUGAUGUCAUUAAUGCUGCCAAGAAAAUUGCCGAAGCAGGUUCUCGAAUGGACAAAUUAGCUCGCGCUGUGGCUGAUCAGUGUCCUGAUUCAGCAUGUAAGCAGGAUUUAUUAGCCUACCUUCAACGAAUUGCCUUGUAUUGCCAUCAGCUUAAUAUCUGCAGCAAGGUGAAGGCAGAAGUGCAGAAUCUGGGAGGAGAGCUCAUUGUGUCAGGGGUAAGCUGGACUUGGGCUUCACAAUGUAAAGUUCCCACCGUUGCACUUCCAAGGCAAACAUUCUUGGCAACAGUACUGCUAAAAACACCAAACUACAGUGAUUUAUAGGGAGGGCUUUUUUAAAAUAAAUGUUAUCACCAUUAUUCCAGACCUUACAAUAACUCACAAAGA